GGUAGGGGAGCUUGGAAUAGCUAGGCUGAGAGGCUCCGACGGUUCGGAGCGACCCCUUGCACCUGACCUGGGUAAUGCCAGCGCAGGGACUUA
rnacentral:ncRNA from 1 species